rnacentral:rRNA from 1 species
GCCAGCAGCCAUAUCACCCUGCACCUCACAACUGGCAACCCACUGAAGCUAAGUGGGUGUGAGCCUGGUUAGUACCUGGAUGGGAGUCCUCCUGGGAAAACUUUCCCAACAAAGGUUGCUGCGGGAA